rnacentral:rRNA from 1 species
UACGUAGGGGGCAAGCGUUGUCCGGAUUUAUUGGGCGUAAAGAGCGUGUAGGCGGCUGGAUAGGUCCGUUGUGAAAACUCGAGGCUCAACCUCGAGACGCCGAUGGAAACCAUCCAGCUAGAGUCCGGAAGAGGAGAGUGGAAUUCCUGGUGUAGCGGUGAAAUGCGCAGAUAUCAGGAAGAACACCUAUGGCGAAGGCAGGUCUCUGGGCCGCAACUGACGCUGAGGAGCGAAAGCAUGGGGAGCGAACAGG